rnacentral:rRNA from 1 species
AUGUUCGAGAAGGUGCCCUCCGGCGAUGCCAUCCUCCUAAAGUGGAUCCUUCAUGACUGGACUGACAAGCAUUGCACGAAUCUACUAAGGAACUGCUUUGACGCACUCCCUGCUCACGGCAAGGUCAUCUUCAUGGAAGGCAUCUUGCCGUUGAAACCAGACUCAACAUCCAGGGGGCAGCUGAUGUUCUUAGGUGACAUGAUCAUGCUCAUGCACACCCCAGGUGGCAAGGAGAGGCAACAAAGGGAGUUCGAGGAGCUUGCAAGGGGUGCAGGGUUCACCAGUGUCAAGGCCACUCACAUCUACGGCAAUGCGUGGGUCAUUGAAUUCAUCAAAUAA